UAUCAAUUAACCCUUGUGUCUAAUUUAUUUCAGGAACAUGCUCUGCUCAGUAUGUCCAAAUCAUGGUGCUGCACUUCUCAAAGGUUGAUCAUAGCUCAGGCAAUGGUAAUAUGAUGCAAUGAUCCUGCUAUCAAGGGUCUAUCUUCGAUGAAGAAAUCAGUCUAUCUUCGAUGAAUAAAUCAUUCUCACUUGUUGGACAGCAUAUUUAUAUGUACUUUUGCUUAAUGCCCUAUUGUUGAUGUGACUUUUGGAUCUGUAAACCGUUAUGUUUAUUUUGCUUUAUCCUCUAUUACCUUGUCAGUUCUUUGGAACUACAGAUAUCUUUCGUUACCAUGUCCUUUUGUUAAGACUUGUGUUCGGACUGGUAUGAUAUUAUCGAUUAAUCUAUGGUAUUUGAGUUA